AGACGGAGGGGGCUAGCGUUGUUCGGAAUUACUGGGCGUAAAGCGCGCGUAGGUGGCUCAUCUAGUCAGGCUUGAAAGCCCUGGGCUCAACCCAGGAAUUGCGCUUGAAACUGGUGGGCUAGAGUCCGGGAGAGGGUAGCGGAAUUCCCAGUGUAGAGGUGAAAUUCGUAGAUAUUGGGAAGAACACCAGUGGCGAAGGCGGCUACCUGGACCGGUCCUGACGCUGAGGUGCGAAAGCGUGGGGAGCAAACAGGAUUAGAAACCCGUGUAGUCC
rnacentral:rRNA from 1 species